AACAAUUUUCUCUCCUUUUAUCUCUUUAAUAUUUUCUGGAUCCAUCCAACCUUCUCUUUUCUUUCCAUGAGUAUUUGGCAGCAUGACAGGAGAUUAAAAUACAAGCAAAUAAGAACCUAAAAUCUGAGAUGUGCUUUCCAGUUUCAGAAUAAUCCUUAGCUGGCAUCAUGGUUUCAUUUUUGCUAUUGUUGUUAUUUUUAACUAUUAGAAGAGGUUUAUAUUUAUUAUAUGCAGAAUAUCACUAGGCUUCCUAACUUUAGGUUUCUUGGACUGUUAAGGAGACAGGUAAUAAAUUUAUUGUCAAUUUUUCUUCUAUUGGGAGGUGUUAUUAUUAUCUAAUCCAUUAGGUGGAAAAAUGUUCUUGAUUGAUAUUUUAUAUUUUGUUUUUUAUGGCAAACUGGUGCCUUUCACUGUUGAAAGAGAAAAAGAAUAUUCCUUAUUAAAUUAGUUAGCUGUCCUGUCAUUGCACGUGCAGAGGGGCCAUGGUCCUUGUUAGAAAAAUGCAAUAUGGUUUUUGUUUUGUUUUUUGUUAGUUUGUUUGUUUUUGGCAUGAACCUAGGACCUAGACCAUCAGGAUAAGAAUUAUCACUUUGUUCUUUAUCAGAACAAUAAAAGUUUUGUGUUCUAC
rnacentral:lncRNA from 1 species